GAUAAUAAACUGCCUCUCUCCGAUUGGUUUUGCCCGACUUUUAUUUUUGUCUGUCUCAGCUAGAAAGUGGGAGACUUUCAUUUAAAAUGGAAAUUGGGGCGAGGGGUUGGCGGCUGAGCGAAGGGAGCAUUCAAAAGCGUAGAAUGUCACUUUACCCGAGAAAUUAUCUACGAUGGGCCGUUGGUUUCUGCUCGGCCCGCAGGCGCAUUGCACGAGUGGAGGCGUGGCUAGUGGCUGUGACGAGAUAAAUUCAUGCAUAGCCUUUUCAUCGCGAGCUUGAAAGUUCUUUUCUAUUACGGUUUUAGCUUUAGGUUUAAUUGGUUCGACUGCCUUCUCCACAAUUGGGCGAGAAUUUCUUUUGCCUUCUCAGCAAAAGUUGUUCUGCGGACCUGUCUGGGUCAACUUUCAUGAGGGACAUUGAGACAAACAAAUGAAAUACGGGUCAAAGUACUCUGAGCAGCUACAAAAAGAAGACCAGCCUAUCCUGCUGGAGACAGUGGCCACAUGAAGAAAGAGCCCUUGGAGUAUGAAAGACCACAUGGAAAGAGAGGCCACAUGGAACCAACAGUCAGCAUCUUGGUUUCGGACAUGUGAAGAAAUUCAUCUCAGACUGUGUAUCCUAAAUCAGGCACUUGCUGAAUGCAACUACGUGAGUGAGACCAGUUGACAACACAUGGAGCAGACGUGAGCUGUUCUCAGUGAGUCCUACACAAAUUCCCAACUCACAAAAUUGUGAGCAAUAAAAUGGUUGUUAUUUUAA